GGAAUUGGAGCUCAGUGGCUGAGCACUUGCCUAGCAUGCAUGAGUCCCAGGGUUCUAUCCCUGGCACAGUCA
rnacentral:tRNA from 1 species